UACGUAGGGUGCGAGCGUUGUCCGGAAUUAUUGGGCGGAAAGAGCUCGUAGGCGGUUUGUUGCGUCGGCUGUGAAAACCUGCGGCUUAACUGUGGGCUUGCAGUCGAUACGGGCAGACUUGAGUUCGGCAGGGGAGACUGGAAUUCCUGGUGUAGCGGUGAAAUGCGCAGAUAUCAGGAGGAACACCGGUGGCGAAGGCGGGUCUCUGGGCCGAUACUGACGCUGAGGCGCGAAAGCGUGGGGAGCAAACAGG
rnacentral:rRNA from 1 species